rnacentral:rRNA from 1 species
CUACAAUGGCGUAUACAAAGAGAAGCGACCUCGCGAGAGCAAGCGGACCUCAUAAAGUACGUCGUAGUCCGGAUUGGAGUCUGCAACUCGACUCCAUGAAGUCGGAAUCGCUAGUAAUCGUAGAUCAGAAUGCUACGGUGAAUACGUUCCCGGGCCUUGUACACACCGCCCGUCACACCAUGGGAGUGGGUUGCAAAAGAAGUAGGUAGCUUAACCUUCGGGAGGGCGCUUACCACUUUGUGAUUCAUGACUGGGGUGAAGUCGUAACAAGGUAACCGUAGGGGAACCUGCGGUUGGAUCACCUCCUUA